GCUUACGGCCAUACCACCCUGAGCACGCCCAAUCUCGUCUGAUCUGGAAAGCUAAGCAGGGUCGGGCCUGGUUAGUACGUAGAUGCGGGACCGCCUGGAAAUCCCAAGUGCUGUAAGCU
rnacentral:rRNA from 1 species